AGAGUGAUAAUGGUGAUUAUUUUAUUGUGACAAAAUGUCGAUAAGCUCAUAAACAAAAACCAACUCGAAAGUUUAAUUUUCAUGAAUUUGCGAUCUUGAUUGACUGGAGUGUGGUUCUAAACUAUAAUCUGAUUUUAAAUUAAUGUAUGCGUUAUUGUUCAUACGACCGCGAAUUUUAAAGUGUCAAUAAAAAGUAUGCGGUUCUGAACGAUCGAUCCUU